CCUACGGGUGGCAGCAGUAGGGAAUUUUGCGCAAUGGGCGAAAGCCUGACGCAGCAACGCCGCGUGAUCGAGACGCCCUUCGGGGUGUAAAGAUCUGUCAGUGGGGACGAAACUUGACGGUACCCACAGAGGAAGCACCGGCUAACUCCGUGCCAGCAGCCGCGGUAAUGCGGGGGGUUCAAGCGUGAUCCGGAAUCAUUGGGCGUAAAGAGUUCGUAGGCGGCACGUAAAGUCUGGUGUUAAAGUCCGAGGCUCAACUUCGGUACGGCCCUGGAUACUUGCGAGAUAGAGUGCGGUAGAGGUAAAGGGAAUUCCUGGUGUAGCGGUGAAAUGCUUAGAUAUCAGGAGGAACAUCGGUGGCGUAAGCGCUUUACUGGGCCGUAAUUGACGCUGAGGAACGAAAGCCAGGGUAGCAAAUGGGAUUAGAUACCCCUGUAGUC
rnacentral:rRNA from 1 species